GACGGACCGUGCGAACGUUGUUCGGAUUCACUGGGCUUAAAGGGCGCGUAGGCGGGUUGUCAAGUCAGGGGUGAAAGCCUCCAGCUCAACUGGAGAAGUGCCUUUGAUACUGAUGAUCUUGAGGGAGGUAGGGGCAUGUGGAACUUCCGGUGGAGCGGUGAAAUGCGUAGAUAUCGGAAGGAACGCCGGUGGCGAAAGCGACGUGCUGGACCUCUUCUGACGCUGAGGCGCGAAAGCUAGGGGAGCGAACGGG
rnacentral:rRNA from 1 species